rnacentral:sRNA from 1 species
AUAUCUCUCCGUACGGGAAGGAUGAGAAGCUUCGACUAAGGUUCGAUUCGAGCGAAAGCGAGAAAGCGUUGCCGCAGGCAACGACCCGAAGGGCGAAGCGCGCAGCGCUGAGUCAUCCUUCCCCCAC